CAUUUACAGAUUACAAUGACUUGAGGAUCAGCUCCAAGAGACGCUCCGGCGCAGAGAAGAAAGGGCUGUGGUCAGUGUCCAUCGCCACCACCUCUCUCGGCGGCCAUCGUCGGAUCAUGGCCUCCUGCUGCUCCUGCUUCACCAUGUGGUCAUUGGUUGUCUUUAUGUACACCCGAGGCACUGCAUUCACUGCACUCUCGGCGCCGUCAUCGACAUGGCCGAACCUUGCAGUGCUCAGAGCGGCUGGCCAUGGGCGCAGCAGAAUGGAUGCAAGUGUGGAGUCCUGCAGAAACGUUGUUCAUGGUGGAUUAUGCGCUGGUGCUCCUCUCUCAGCGCCACACUCGUUGGAGGGCAGCCAUCUCCCAGACCGAAUCUCAGAUAUAAAUAAGAGUUGAACCAAGCAAUAAGCAUAGGGGAAGUUUUGAAUCACAUCUUUUAUAUCUUGCUCUGUUUGGUACCCAAACGGAAGCAUGGUUGCUGCUAUGAAGAUGGCUUGCUUGAUCUUGUCUCUGAACAAAUGCAUCGCAUGGGUGACGCUCAGUCCUCCUGCGCUAUGCCCUACCAAAAUUACCUGCCAAACAACAGUAACACUGGAGGAGUCAUCUAUGUCAACCGUGUAACGACUGAGGAGAUGAUGCUAUGAUAUCUGAAACCCCAGUAACACAGCUAGAUGAUGGCAGAGAUGGUGCUCUAAAAUCUGCAUACACACGAUACGAGCGAUGGUGCGUCACUCACCUUGUGCCCAUCCGGCAAGGCGGC